GAUGAACGCUGGCGGCGUGCCUAAUACAUGCAAGUCGAGCGAACGGACGAGAAGCUUGCUUCUCUGAUGUUAGCGGCGGACGGGUGAGUAACACGUGGAUAACCUACCUAUAAGACUGGGAUAACUUCGGGAAACCGGAGCUAAUACCGGAUAAUAUUUUGAACCGCAUGGUUCAAAAGUGAAAGACGGUCUUGCUGUCACUUAUAGAUGGAUCCGCGCUGCAUUAGCUAGUUGGUAAGGUAACGGCUUACCAAGGCAACGAUGCAUAGCCGACCUGAGAGGGUGAUCGGCCACACUGGAACUGAGACACGGUCCAGACUCCUACGGGAGGCAGCAGUAGGGAAUCUUCCGCAAUGGGCGAAAGCCUGACGGAGCAACGCCGCGUGAGUGAUGAAGGUCUUCGGAUCGUAAAACUCUGUUAUUAGGGAAGAACAUAUGUAUAAGUAACUGUGCACAUCUUGACGGUACCUAAUCAGAAAGCCACGGCUAACUACGUGCCAGCAGCCGCGGUAAUACGUAGGUGGCAAGCGUUAUCCGGAAUUAUUGGGCGUAAAGCCGCGCGUAGGCGGUUUUUUAAAGUCUGAUGUGAAAGCCCACGGCUCAACCGUGGAGGGUCAUUGGAAACUGGAAAACUUGAGUGCAGAAGAGGAAAGUGGAAUUCCAUGUGUAGCGGUGAAAUGCGCAGAGAUAUGGAGGAACACCAGUGGCGAAGGCGACUUUCUGGUCUGUAACUGACGCUGAUGUGCGAAAGCGUGGGGAUCAAACAGGAUUAGAUACCCUGGUAGUCCACGCCGUAAACGAUGAGUGCUAAGUGUUAGGGGGUUUCCGCCCCUUAGUGCUGCAGCUAACGCAUUAAGCACUCCGCCUGGGGAGUACGACCGCAAGGUUGAAACUCAAAGGAAUUGACGGGGACCCGCACAAGCGGUGGAGCAUGUGGUUUAAUUCGAAGCAACGCGAAGAACCUUACCAAAUCUUGACAUCCUUUGACAACUCUAGAGAUAGAGCCUUCCCCUUCGGGGGACAAAGUGACAGGUGGUGCAUGGUUGUCGUCAGCUCGUGUCGUGAGAUGUUGGGUUAAGUCCCGCAACGAGCGCAACCCUUAAGCUUAGUUGCCAUCAUUAAGUUGGGCACUCUAAGUUGACUGCCGGUGACAAACCGGAGGAAGGUGGGGAUGACGUCAAAUCAUCAUGCCCCUUAUGAUUUGGGCUACACACGUGCUACAAUGGACAAUACAAAGGGCAGCGAAACCGCGAGGUCAAGCAAAUCCCAUAAAGUUGUUCUCAGUUCGGAUUGUAGUCUGCAACUCGACUACAUGAAGCUGGAAUCGCUAGUAAUCGUAGAUCAGCAUGCUACGGUGAAUACGUUCCCGGGUCU
rnacentral:rRNA from 1 species